rnacentral:tRNA from 1 species
GGUGAGGUGGCUGAGUGGUCUAAAGCACCGGUCUUGAAAACCGGCACACCGCAAGGUGUCGUGAGUUCGAAUCUCACCCUCACCG